UUUAUUGGAGAGUUUGAUCCUGGCUCAGGACGAACGCUGGCGGCAUGCCUAAUACAUGCAAGUCGAGCGGAGUUGAUAGGAAGCUUGCUUCCUUGAUACUUAGCGGCGGACGGGUGAGUAACACGUAGGCAACCUGCCCUCAAGUUUGGGACAACUACCGGAAACGGUAGCUAAUACCGAAUAAUUGUUUUCUUCGCCUGAAGGAAAUUGGAAAGACGGAGCAAUCUGUCACUUGGGGAUGGGCCUGCGGCGCAUUAGCUAGUUGGUGAGGUAACGGCUCACCAAGGCGACGAUGCGUAGCCGACCUGAGAGGGUGAUCGGCCACACUGGGA
rnacentral:rRNA from 1 species